UGGGGAAUAUUGGACAAUGGGCGAAAGCCUGAUCCAGCCAUGCCGCGUGUGUGAAGAAGGUCUUCGGAUUGUAAAGCACUUUAAGUUGGGAGGAAGGGCAGUUACCUAAUACGUGAUUGUUUUGACGUUACCGACAGAAUAAGCACCGGCUAACUCUGUGCCAGCAGCCGCGGUAAUACAGAGGGUGCAAGCGUUAAUCGGAAUUACUGGGCGUAAAGCGCGCGUAGGUGGUUAGUUAAGUUGGAUGUGAAAUCCCCGGGCUCAACCUGGGAACUGCAUUCAAAACUGACUGACUAGAGUAUGGUAGAGGGUGGUGGAAUUUCCUGUGUAGCGGUGAAAUGCGUAGAUAUAGGAAGGAACACCAGUGGCGAAGGCGACCACCUGGACUGAUACUGACACUGAGGUGCGAAAGCGUGGGGAGCAAACAGGAUUAGAU
rnacentral:rRNA from 1 species